rnacentral:tRNA from 1 species
ACUGAAAAGCCUGAUUAAAGGAUCAUUUUGAUAGAAUGAAUUAUGUAUAUUUUAUACUUUCAGUA